rnacentral:rRNA from 1 species
UAGUCCACGCCGUAAACGAUGAUCACUCGCUGCUAGCAAUACACUGUUAGUGGCCAAGCGAAAGCAUUAAGUGAUCCACCUGGGGAGUACGCCGGCAACGGUGAAACUCAAAGGAAUUGACGGGGGCCCGCACAAGCGGUGGAGCAUGUGGUUUAAUUCGAUGAUACGCGAGGAACCUUACCAGGGCUUAAAUGUAGAGUGACUGACUUGGAAACAGGUCUUUCUUCGGACACUUUACAAGGUGCUGCAUGGUUGUCGUCAGCUCGUGCCGUGAGGUGUCGGGUUAAGUCCCAUAACGAGCGCAACCCCUAUUCUUAGUUGCCAGCGGUUCGGCUGGGGACUCUAAGAAAACUGCCCGCGCAAGCGGUGAGGAAGGUGGGGAUGACGUCAAAUCAUCACGGCCCUUACGUCCUGGGCUACACACGUGCUACAAUGGUAAUGACAAUGGGCAGCCACUCCGCGAGGAGGAGCAAAUCCACAAACAUUAUCUCAGUUCGGAUCGG